CGGCAGGCCUAACACAUGCAAGUCGAACGGGUGCCUUCGGGUGCUAGUGGCGGACGGGUGAGUAACGCGUGGGAACAUACCCUUUGGUACGGAAUAGCCUCGGGAAACUGAGAGUAAUACCGUAUGUNCCCGUUCGGGGGGAAAGAUUUAUCGCCAAAGGAUUGGCCCGCGUUGGAUUAGGUAGUUGGUGGGGUAAUGGCCUACCAAGCCGACGAUCCAUAGCUGGUUUGAGAGGAUGAUCAGCCACACGUGGGACUGAGACACGGCCCAGACUCCUACGGGAGGCAGCAGGUGGGGAAUCUUAGACAAGUGGGGGAAACCCUGAUCUAGCCAUGCCGCGUGAUCGAUGAAGGCCUUAGGGUUGUAAAGAUCUUUCAGAUGGGAAGAUAAUGACGGUACCAUCAGAAGAAGCCCCGGCUAACUCCGUG
rnacentral:rRNA from 1 species